rnacentral:lncRNA from 1 species
GGAGCAGUGAAGAACUAUUUCCUGUAGUGCUUUAUCCUACUUAACUGUGAAUAUAACCUGGAUAGCGCAUCAGGCAUGAGGCACCAUUGCCGGGCCCUGGAUAGAACUAAACCAAUAAUUCUCAGAUCUCUUUAAUACCGACUCUGUUAUAUUGUACUCUCCCAAGUGCUUUGUACAGUGCUCUGCACACAGUAGGUGCUCAAUAAAAGCAAUCGAUCGAAUCGAUUUGGUAAGCUAUUCUUUCCAUUCUCUAAACUACUGCCAGGUAGAAUAGACAUCGGUUAAAACGUUUCUCUCACGUCAUUCUCUUGUUUCUUUUCUUUUUUUUCUUCUUUCAUUUAGGAAGCUGCCUAAGAGAUUUUGUGAAUGUCGAUACUGAAUUCUCAAGGAUUAAGGCUCAGCAAAGCUGCUGUGAAGUAAUUCAGAAGGACCUACCCUAUGGAUUGGCAGCACAGAGCUAUGCUACGGUGGAAACACAACAGUUCCGUACUGUUUUUCAGGAGCGAUUCUAGAAAGCCUAUUCUGAAGAUUUGCAGAUUCCAGGUCUGGAAAAUAAAAAUGAAAAUGUCCUGUUGAAUAUUUGGACAGAGAAGCACUUAGCAUAGUAUAGGCAGG